rnacentral:rRNA from 1 species
UACGUAGGGGCGAGCGUUGUCCGGAAUCAUUGGGCGUAAAGCGCGUGUAGGCGGCCCGGAAAGUCUGGUGUGAAACUUGAGGCUCAACCUCAAGCUGUCACUGGAUACUAUCGGGCUUGAGUCCGGAAGAGGAGAGUGGAAUUCCUGGUGUAGCGGUGGAAUGCGCAGAUAUCAGGAGGAACACCUGAGGUGAAGACGGGUUGCUGGGCUGACACUGACGCUGAGGCGCGAAAGCUAGGGGAGCAAACGGG